GCUGGGCAUGGUGGCACAUGCCUGUAAUUUCAGCCGCUGGGAAGGCUGAAGCAGGAGGAUUGCAAGUUCAAAGCCAGCCUCAGCAAAAUUGAGGCGCUAAGCAAUUCAGUGAGAUUCUGUCUCUA
rnacentral:sRNA from 1 species